rfam:Promicromonospora flava strain DSM 21481 genome assembly, contig: Ga0061139_scaffold00007.7
GCCCCGCACGACGAGGCCUCCUCCCGCGAGGGUCUGGCGCACUUCCCCGGUGCCAGAACGACGCGGAGGGAGACCUGGCCGGGCGGGGCCCAGACG